rnacentral:rRNA from 1 species
CCUACGGGUGGCAGCAGUGAGGAAUAUUGGUCAAUGGGAGAGAUCCUGAACCAGCCAAGCCGCGUGAGGGAAGACGGCCCUAUGGGUUGUAAACCUCUUUUGUCGGAGAACAAAACCCGGGACGUGUCCCGGACUGCGUGUAUCCGAAGAAAAAGCAUCGGCUAACUCCGUGCCAGCAGCCGCGGUAAUACGGAGGAUGCGAGCGUUAUCCGGAUUUAUUGGGUUUAAAGGGAGCGUAGGCGGGUUGUUAAGUCAGUUGUGAAAGUUUGCGGCUCAACCAUAAAAUUGCAGUUGAUACUGGCAUCCUUGAGUACAGUAGAGGUAGGCGGAAUUCGUGGUGUAGCGGUGAAAUGCUUAGAUAUCACGAAGAACUCCGAUUGCGAAGGCAGCCUGCUGGACUGUAACUGACGCUGAUGCUCGAAAGUGUGGGUAUCAAACAGGAUUAGAUACCCGAGUAGUC